rnacentral:rRNA from 1 species
UGGGGAAUAUUGCACAAUGGGCGCAAGCCUGAUGCAGCCAUGCCGCGUGUGUGAAGAAGGCCUUCGGGUUGUAAAGCACUUUCAGCGAGGAGGAAGGUGGUGAGCUUAAUACGCUCAUCAAUUGACGUUACUCGCAGAAGAAGCACCGGCUAACUCCGUGCCAGCAGCCGCGGUAAUACGGAGGGUGCAAGCGUUAAUCGGAAUUACUGGGCGUAAAGCGCACGCAGGCGGUUUGUUAAGUCAGAUGUGAAAUCCCCGGGCUCAACCUGGGAACUGCAUUUGAAACUGGCAAGCUAGAGUCUCGUAGAGGGGGGUAGAAUUCCAGGUGUAGCGGUGAAAUGCGUAGAGAUCUGGAGGAAUACCGGUGGCGAAGGCGGCCCCCUGGACGAAGACUGACGCUCGGGUGCGAAAGCGUGGGGAGCAAAACAGGAUUAGAUACCCUGGUAGUCCACGCUGUAAACGAUGUCGAUUUUGGAGGUUGUGCCCCUUGAGGCGUGGCUUCCGGAGCUAACGCGUUAAAUCGACCGCCUGGGGAGUACGGCCGCAAGGUUAAAACUCAAAUGAAUUGCGGGGUCUA